AUUGAACGCUGGCGGCAGGCUUAACACAUGCAAGUCGAGCGGGGGAAGGUAGCUUGCUACUGGACCUAGCGGCGGACGGGUGAGUAAUGCUUAGGAAUCUGCCUAUUAGUGGGGGACAACAUCUCGAAAGGGAUGCUAAUACCGCAUACGUCCUACGGGAGAAUGCAGGGGAUCUUCGGACCUUGCGCUAAUAGAUGAGCCUAAGUCGGAUUAGCUAGUUGGUGGGGUAAAGGCAUACCAAGGCGACGAUCUGUAGCGGGUCUGAGAGGAUGAUCCGCCACACUGGGACUGAGACACGGCCCAGACUCCUACGGGAGGCAGCAGUGGGGAAUAUUGGACAAUGGGGGGAACCCUGAUCCAGCCAUGCCGCGUGUGUGAAGAAGGCCUUAUGGUUGUAAAGCACUUUAAGCGAGGAGGAGGCUACUUUAGUUAAUACCUAGAGAUAGUGGACGUUACUCGCAGAAUAAGCACCGGCUAACUCUGUGCCAGCCGCCGCAGUAA
rnacentral:rRNA from 1 species